rnacentral:rRNA from 1 species
UUAUUUAUUUUAUUAUAUUUAUUUUUUGUUUAUUUAAUUAUUUAAUAAAAAUAAUUUUAUUGAAUUUUGUCUUAGUAUAUUUUGUAGAAUUGAUUUUUUAAAUUAUAGUUUAUUGGUAAUGUAAUUGUUUUAUGAAAUAUUAUUUUAAAUUUUUAAAAGUAUAUUUUAUUUAUUGUACCUUUUGUAUCAGGGUUUAUCAAAAUUUUAGUAUUUAAUUUACUUGUCUCGAUUUGGGUUGAUUUAUAAAUAAUUUAUAGUUAAUGUAUCAUAAUUAUUAUUAAAUUAUUUAUGGAAAUGAGAUGUUAAUCGUUUCCCAAGAUAUCUAGUUUCUUAAGAAAAAUUUUAAUUUUUUAAAGUUAAUUGUUUUUAUUUAAUUUUUUAAUUAUAAAUAUUAACUUAUUUAUUCUUUAAGGGAUAAGCUUUGAAGUUAAUAACCUAUAAUUUGUUUUGUAAAAUAUAAUAGUAAGCUUUAAACCAGCUAUCUUUAUGAUUACGUUUUAGUUCAUUAUUUUCUAUUUUGAUUUUAUAAUUAUUUUAGGUUUUUUAUUAGGAUUAUUUAUUUAAUUUUAAAAUUUUUGUAAUAAUGAUAGAAUUAGUAUAUUUACUUGUAUAUAAUUUUUACCUUGUGAAUUUAUAAUAAGGAACUAGGCAAAAUUGAUUUCCGCCUGUUUAUCAAAAACAUGUCCUCUUGAAAAUACUUUGAGGUCUGGCCUGCUCACUGAGCGGAUUUUUAAAGAGCCGCGGUAUUUUGACCGUGCAAAGGUAGCAUAAUCAUUAGUCUCUUAAUUAGUGGCUGGAAUGAAUGGCUUGACGAGAAAUCAACUGUCUCUUAAUAAAUUUUUGAAU